rnacentral:rRNA from 1 species
AUGGAAGGAGUGGCCGGCAUGAUGCGGAGUCUGAAGCUGUCGGAGGAGGAAAGGAAGGGGGUCAAGAUCCGGCUGUCUGCGAAGGAGAAGGGGAAGGGAGUUGAACCCCAAGCAGUGGGGAAGGUGCUAUCGGAGAAACUUGCCAAUCAAGAUGCGAUCAGCCUGUCUUUAGGGAAGGUGUGGUGUCCGAUCAAAGGAACUGAUUGCAGGGAGGUGGGAGACAAUCUGUUUGUAUUUACGUUCAAACAGGAAUCGGGGAGAAGAAAGGCCAUUGAAGAUGGCCCGUGGAUGUUUGAUAAAGAUCUAGUGAUAGUGGAGGAGUAUGAUCCAGGGAAGAGAUUCGAAGAUUAUGAGUUCAAUGAUAUUCCAAUCUGGGUGAGGAUCUUUAACCUCCCGAUGGGGAUGAUGAACGAGGAGUCGGCGGAG